rnacentral:rRNA from 1 species
UACGUAGGGGGCUAGCGUUGUCCGGAUUUAUUGGGCGUAAAGAGCGUGUAGGCGGCCAGGUAGGUCUGGUGUGAAAACUCGAGGCUUAACCUCGAGAUGUCAUCGGAAACCAUCUGGCUAGAGUCCGGAAGAGGAUAGUGGAAUACCCGGUGGAGCGGUGAAAUGCGUAGAGAUCGGGUGGAACACCGGUGGCGAAGGCGGGUCUCUGGGCCGAUACUGACGCUGAGGAGCGAAAGCGUGGGGAGCGAACAGG